UACGAAGGGUGCAAGCGUUAAUCGGAAUCACUGGGUUUAAAGGGUGCGUAGGUGGUCCGUUAAGUCAGUUGUGAAAUCCCCGGGCUCAACUCGGGAACUGCUUCUGAUACUGGCGGACUUGAGGCCAGUAGGGGUCACUAGAACUGACGGUGGAGCGGUGAAAUGCGUAGAUAUCGUCAGGAAUGCCGGUGGUGAAGACGGGUGACUGGGCUGGUUCUGACACUGAGGCACGAAAGCGUGGGGAGCGAACGGG
rnacentral:rRNA from 1 species